CCUGCCCCUAGAGGCCUUGCAGGUAUGGCUGCUGGGUGACAUGUGUAUCAAUAGGUGGCAAAAAAGCCGAGAGGCUGUGUCUAUGCUCAGUGCUCUGAUCUAUGAACAUUUGAAUGCUUAGUACCCUAACAUC
ensembl:snoRNA Gm24068 small nucleolar RNA SNORA17